GACGAACGCUGGCGGCGUGCUUAACACAUGCAAGUCGAACGGAAAGGCCCUGCUUUUGUGGGGUGCUCGAGUGGCGAACGGGUGAGUAACACGUGAGUAACCUGCCCUUGACUUUGGGAUAACUUCAGGAAACUGGGGCUAAUACCGGAUAGGAGCUCCUGCUGCAUGGUGGGGGUUGGAAAGUUUCGGCGGUUGGGGAUGGACUCGCGGCUUAUCAGCUUGUUGGUGGGGUAGUGGCUUACCAAGGCUUUGACGGGUAGCCGGCCUGAGAGGGUGACCGGCCACAAUGGGACUGAGAUACGGCCCAGACUCCUACGGGAGGCAGCAGUGGGGAAUAUUGCACAAUGGGCGGAAGCCUGAUGCAGCAACGCCGCGUGCGGGAUGACGGCCUUCGGGUUGGAAACCGCUUUCGCCUGUGACGAAGCGUGAGUGACGGUAAUGGGUUAAGAAGCACCGGCUAACUACGUG
rnacentral:rRNA from 1 species